AGCGAACGCUGGCGGCAGGCCUAACACAUGCAAGUCGAACGAACUCUUCGGAGUUAGUGGCGGACGGGUGAGUAACACGUGGGAACGUGCCUUUAGGUUCGGAAUAACUCAGGGAAACUUGUGCUAAUACCGAAUGUGCCCUUCGGGGGAAAGAUUUAUCGCCUUUAGAGCGGCCCGCGUCUGAUUAGCUAGUUGGUGAGGUAAAGGCUCACCAAGGCGACGAUCAGUAGCUGGUCUGAGAGGAUGAUCAGCCACAUUGGGACUGAGACACGGCCCAAACUCCUACGGGAGGCAGCAGUGGGGAAUCUUGCGCAAUGGGCGAAAGCCUGACGCAGCCAUGCCGCGUGAAUGAUGAAGGUCUUAGGAUUGUAAAAUUCUUUAACCGGGGACGAUAAUGACGGUACCCGGAGAAGAAGCCCCGGCUAACUUCGUG
rnacentral:rRNA from 1 species